CUUAGGGCUGGUGGAGGAUCUGCUGGGGCUCGGUAGGUCGUGGGGCUCGUUAAGGCUCGUUAGGGCUGGUGAAGGACCUGGUGGGGCUCGUUAGGGCUCGUUAGGGCUGGUGAAGGACCUGGUGGGGCUUGUUAAGUUGUGGGGGCUUAUUUAAGGUUCAUUAGGGCUGGUGAAGGACCUGGUGGGGCUCGUUAGAUCGUGGGGGCUCGUUAAGGCUCGUUAGGGCUGGUGAAGGACCUGGUGGGGCUCAUUAGGUUGUGGGGGCUCGUUAAGGCUCAUUAGGGCUGGUGAGGGAUCUGGUGGGGCUCGUUAGGUCGUGGGGGCUUGUUGUGGGCAGAGAACCCACCUCGGGGGGGGCAGCCCUGGGUCUGGGGGCAUCCCAUGGUGGGGCUGGCUUGGGCUUGGCAGGAGGUGCUGGGGGGUCACUGGGGCUCUCUGGGGCUCACUGGGGGGUCACUGGGGCUCACUGGGGGGUCACUGGAGUCACUGGGGCUCACUGGGACUCACUGGGGCUCACUGGGGAUCACUGGGUGUCACUGGGAGUCACUGGGGGUCACUGGGAGUCACUGGGGAUCACUGGGGCUCACUGGGACUCACUGGGGGGCACUGGGGCUCACUGGGGGGCACUGGGGCUCAGUGGGGCUCACUGGGACUCACUGGGGGUCACUGGGAGUCCCUGGGGGUCACUGGGGCUCACUGGGGGUCACUGGGGCUCACUGGGGGUCACUGGGACUCACUGGGGCUCAGUGGGGCUCACUGGGACUCACUGGGGGUCACUGGGAGUCCCUGGGGGUCACUGGGGCUCACUGGGAGUCCCUGGGGGUCACUGGGAGUCACUGGGGCUCACUGGGGCUCACUGGGACUCACUGGGGAUCACUGGGGCUCACUGGGGCUCACUGGGACUCACUGGGGCUCUCUGGGGUCCAGGUUUGGGGGUCAUCAGGCUGAGGGGACUCAUUAAGGCUCGUUAGGAGCUGGGGAGUCCUCAGGUCCCGAGAGCCGGGUUUGGGGUCCUCAGGUGGUGGGGACUCGUUAGGGGGUGACAGAGGAGCUAUUUGACCUCAUUAAAUGGUCAGGACUCAUUAAGGCUCAUUAGGAGAUGGAGACCUUGGUCUGGGGGGUCAUCAGUGGUGGGGGCUCAUUAAGGCUCAUUAGGAGGUGGUGGGCUCGUUAAGGCUCCUUGGGUGAUGGGGGCCCAGGUUUGGGGGUCAUCAGGUGGUGGGGACUCAUUAAGGCUCAUUAAGUGGUGGGGGCUCAUUAAGGCUCAUUAGCAAGUGAGGAAGGACCUGAUGGGGCUCGUUAGGUCCUGGAGACCCUCAUCUCAUCUCGGGCCUCGUUAAUUAAGGCUCAUUAAGGCUGAUGAGGUGAUGAGGGACCUGUCGGGGCUCUUUAAUGGGGGGGACCCAGAUCUUGGGGAAUCGUUUGGGAGGUGGAGACUCAUUAAGGGUCAAUAAUUAGUGGGACCCAGAUCUUGGGGGGUCAUUCGGUUGUUGGGGGCUCGUUAAGGGUCGUUAAUUAGUGGGACCCCAAGUUUUGAGUUCGUUAGGCUGUGGGGGCUUAUUAAGGGUUGUUAAUUAGUGGACCCAGGUUUUGGUGCUCGUUAAGGUUCGUUGGGUGAUGGGGGACCCUGGGGUGGAGUUUAAUGAGCUUAAUGAGGUCACUGAGGUUAAUGAGGUUAAUGGGGCCCAUGGGAUUAACAAGAUCAGUGGGUCAAUGAGCUUAAUGACCUUAAUGAGGUCAAUGGGUUAAUGAUUUAAAUGAAGUCAGGGGGGUUAAUGGGGUUAAUGAAGCUCAUGGCACUAACGGGGUCAAUGGGUUAAUGAGGUCAGUGGGUUAAUGAGGUUAACGAGGUCGAUGGGUUGGGGUUAAUGAGGUUAACGAGGUCAAUGGGGUUAAUGAUGUCAGUGGGUUAAUGAGGUUAACGAGGUCAGUGAGUUUAAUGAAGGAGCUCCCUGGGGGUCCCGGACCCUUCCUGGGGCAUCACCUCCCCCCCCUCCCCUCCCCCCCGGCCCCUCCCCCUCCCCGCGGGGGGCGGGGCCGAUGUACAGAUUUUAUAGGGGGGGAGGGGCCGGCGCGUUUUUAAUUAACGGCGAUUUCGGGGCUAAUAAAGGAGGAUUUGGUUAA